UGCACCAUGUGGGUGUGCGCACCGCCUCCAAGAAACUGCUCAUAUCAGCACCCGCUCGGAUGCUUUAUCUCUGAACCUACCUCAAGUCAGCAGAGGAUGUUCCACUACAGAAAGUAAAUUCGUCGUCCCAAAUCCUCACAAGGAAACUGGACAAAAGAGAGAUCAUUGGUUUCCAAGCUACCCACACCAAGUCGUAAGAAGCUCAAGAGUCGCCUAUCCACCACCAAAGUUUACCAGGCGGACAAAUGCAAGCCUUAUACUGAAAAGCAGUGAUAGUGUACGGCAUGUUGAAGCAGUACGAAAUUGGGUCCACAAAUUAUUGCUUCUUGCUUCAUGAAUUACUCAGUUUAGAGGAAAUGUGCUGGCUUCAAAUUUCUUGGAUAGUGCAUGUGAUGGGGUGCACAUACUGUACUUUAAUCUACGUGUGAAACUUUGCAUAGAGUAUCACAUGUAACUUGGUAGCAAGUGGGCCAGUAGUAGUGUACAUUUAGCAGCACUUGUUCUUCCCAGUGAAUAUAGUUUGCUGCAAUUGUGGAGGCUGUUGGAAAGCAAUGGCAGGGAAAGCUACAGUAGUGCUGAAACAAAGAGUUAUGUACGUGCACCGAUUGCUUGUAGGGAGGGACAUUGUGAAGGUUCUAAAAUAGAAAACUGUGUGCAAACACUCGUGCCUUCAUUAAACAAGGCAUUUCGUGUAGUGGUCACCUGGAGAAUAGUUUCCGGGUCGCUACUCUGGAAUAAAUAACGUUUGAUGAUGGGAGUAGGAGAAUAGAAGCAUGUGCAUAAGGACAUUUUGGGCAGUGUUCUAUGAAACAGGCUGCUGAAUUUGUAAAGCAUUUGAAAAUUUAGUCUUUAGUUUUAUUCAAUGAACUUCGCCAAUACAUUAAUGGGAUGAUAUGUAAACAGACGCAUCCAGAAAAGAGGGUACAGCACCGUUGCAUUUGUGCAAGCAAUUUGUUUUGUAUGUGAAGUGGAACCACAGACAAGUAGCAAAUAAUAUUUGUUCUAGAUAACAGACCUGACACAUGACACGGAGUUUUUAAAAGUAUGUUUAUUUUUAACAGAAAAAUAAAUGAGUGCACUCAAUAGAUACAAUCAGAGUUCAAUAGAGUUGGCCAGUGUUUGUGCAUGUUGAAGAUUUGAAUGUGUAAUAACUGCUAUUUCUUUGAUAUUGGCGUGAGCUAUAUAUCCAAAAAAGGCUAGUUUUGUGUUCAUGCUUGUGAUGCGCUGCAGGUAGACACGGACCA